GAUGAACGCUAGCGGCAGGCCUAAUACAUGCAAGUCGAACGGGAUCCAGAUCAAAGCUUGCUUUGGUCUGGUGAGAGUGGCGCACGGGUGCGUAACGCGUGAGCAACCUACCCUUGUCAGGGGGAUAGCCCGGCGAAAGUCGGAUUAAUACCGCAUGACAUCAUUGAGAGGCAUCUUUCGAUGAUCAAAGAUUUAUCGGACAAGGAUGGGCUCGCGUGACAUUAGCUUGUUGGUAAGGUAACGGCUUACCAAGGCUGCGAUGUCUAGGGGCUCUGAGAGGAGAAUCCACCACACUGGUACCGAGACACAGACCAGACUGCUACGGGAGGCAGCAGAAAGGAAUAUUGGGCAAGGGACGGAAGUCUGAACCAGCCAUGCCGCGUGAAGGAGGACGGCCCUAUGGGUUGUAAACUGCCUUUAUACGGGAACAAACGUCGGUACGUGUACCGGUCUGAGUGUACCGUAAGAAUAAGGAUCGGCUAACUCCGUG
rnacentral:rRNA from 1 species